CUUUUAUAAAAUCGAUUAUUCUGUCUGAAAGUGUGAAGUUCAGGCAGAGCCAACGAGUGUGCAAAAAUCAUGGUUUGUGUUGAUACUUUCCAGGGCGAUUUCCAGGCCUCACUCGUCGUCUAAAAUCAGGAGCAACACGCAAAGAAUCCAUCAAAAGCAAUGCAUUUUCGCAUUCAAGUCCCCGAGCCAGUAAAAAUGUUAAAAGUGCUGGCGAGUUAGUAAAUAUGCGGAUACCCGGCCAAGCUGACAGCAUAUUUUAACUAACCCGCGAGCCCGAGAAGGUUUACAUUGGCCCAAACACACUCGACAAGAAUAAUUCAGUCCCAGACAAAAACCUGCAUAUUUUCGCCGUGGCUGUCGAGAGCCACCGUGCUCGCCUGCACCUUUAAACGAAGACGAACGCCACCCUGGAAUCGAGCCUCCAGCCUUUCCUACUCUCUUUCAACAGCUUCCAAAAUGCUAUUGAGUUUUUCCUACUAAAUGCAUCUAUUGUCAAAGCGGAGGAUGGAAUAUGAAUUCGAGUCAUUCACCAAUCAUAUUCACAAAAUAUUCAAAGACGACAUUAGUACAUAUUGCUACUAUUGUCGGGGCCUUUUUUGUGUCGAUCUGAAGAAACAGUGUUUCCCAAAUUCUUCAAGAAUGUAAAUCAGUCCCCUUUUGUCAAAAGCUGCUGCAACUAAUGUUUUAUUCAGAAAGUAAAGAUAAAUAUCGGUAA